AUCUUUCUAGUAUCAAUCAAAUACAAGUGACUUCCAAUUAUUUAAUCCUGGUUAAAACCCAGGGAAAGAUA
rnacentral:tRNA from 1 species